AUUUGAGGCACCAUAGAUGAGCUUGGAGAUAAUCACAGAACAUGAGUGCCAAAUCACCUCCAUAGCCCGAGUCGCUCUCCAGAAUCGACGAGCCCUGGACCUCCUGACGGCCGACAAAGGAGGUACCUGCCUCUUCCUACAGGAGGAAUGCUGCUGUAAACGCCCUCCAUCGCUUAAGAGAAGAACUCCAACGCAAACACCAACAGUCCGCCUCCCCAAUUCCCGAUUGGUGGCGAUCCACCCUCUAUACCUGGCUAACACCAAUCUGAGGCCCCUUAAUUCUCAUCUGUAUCUUGCUCAUGUUUGCCCCCCGUUUUCUUAGGUUCCUUCACCGGCGCAUGGAGGAAGUCUCUCGGGUGGCCACAAACCAAAUGUUCCUCAGUCCUUACACCUUGCUUCCUACAGAAACCCCCACUGGUCUCCCCUAAGCCUCGGACCUCUGGUCGCCCGACUCCCCUUUCGACGCCCGCAUUCAGCAUGAAGUAGCCAGAGAUCGGAACGCCGCCCCAUUACACCAAAGAUGUCGGGAUGUAAGGCCAACUGGCCCGAGGCAGGGGAACGCAAUCAGAUUCACAGGUUGCAUCAGACCGAAACUCUCCGGACCACCCAGUUCCAGAAACUGACCUGGAGACAUUCCGGACCACCCAGUUCCAGGAACUGACCUGGGGGAUUUCCACCCGGCCCAGCCUUCCCGCCUUUCGAGGGAUGGGACUAGCGGUCCCAAGACUGAUGUAACCGGCACCAGAUAGUGCCACGACACCCGAAGAGACCACCAGAUAAGGAAUUCCCUGCGCCCUCCCAGAUUCACCACACCCCUUUCCCUUCUUCCCCUAUAAAAUCUUGCCCAGCCCUCGCCUGGGGGCGACUUCUCUGGUCCCUUUCUCUCGGACCAGUGAACCUCGCCCGGGAGCGCCCCCUAAUAAAGCUCACUUGAAGCGUU